rnacentral:rRNA from 1 species
AGUAACCUGCCUUGGAGUGGGGAAUAACAAUUGGAAACAACUGCUAAUACCGCAUGAUGCAGUUGGGUCGCAUGGCUCUGACUGCCAAAGAUUUAUCGCUCUGAGAUGGACUCGCGUCUGAUUAGCUAGUUGGUGAGGUAACGGCUCACCAAGGCGACGAUCAGUAGCCGGACUGAGAGGUUGGCCGGCCACAUUGGGACUGAGACACGGCCCAGACUCCUACGGGAGGCAGCAG